CAAGAGCCUAAAACAUCCAGCCCAAUGCGUAAGGUGCGAGUUUGUAUGACAAACUCAAGUAUUUCCACUGUCACGGUUAGUCCAAGCAGUGGAACCAUGCAUCUACAAGGUCAUAACUUCGAUAGUGGGGAUACAUGCUUCACUCAGCACAAGCCACCGUACAUGUCAUCUCCGUUCAGGUCACCAUCUUCUCGAGCACCAUUUGGCACCCAUGAUAUACAGACUGUGUUUAAGACACCGAACCGCAACCAGA
rnacentral:sRNA from 1 species